UGGCUGGCCUAGGGAGCACAAAUUGUUUGCACCUGGGCUCAUACAAGGGCCAGCCACUGCAGGGAGAGCACUUCUGGGACCUGCUCUGCUUCCUGAGGAGUGCUGUAUAACCAGAGAGCUUUUUCACCAGUUGUUAAUGCUUCAAGCUUUAAAAUGAGCAUAUGGAAAGACCACCUCUGACAACAAAAUGCAGAAGAGGAAGCAAUUAACGAGCAACUUAACAAUUGAUAAGCCAAGGAAAACUGAAAGCCAGCAAAGUUGUAAGCAGUUGUAAACAGUCUUGAAAUGUAGAAUGGUGACUCCAUAUAACACAUAAACUUGAAGAUAUAUGUGUAUAAUAGAAUGUCAUCAGAUUGAAAUGAUCUGUUACCGCUCAUUAUGUCAUUCCUAUAGGAAGUGUGUGUUUUCUUUGACAACUUUAAGUGCAAACCAGAAGUAUCAUGCUUCAUCCCUGCUUCCUUGAGUAUAUUUUUCCUUUUAUAUUCUACUGAUGACUUGUAAGCUGUCAACCUGGAUGCUGUUGUCCACUGAGUCUGUUAGUGGGAUGUGAUGUGUGGCGCUUAUGGUCUCCACAAAAUUUGUCAGUCAGUUUUCAGGAAGAGGAAUUGGCAUCAACAAGUCUGGAGAUAGACAAAACUGUCUAGUCUGGAAUGGUAUUAUCUAUUGAUAAACACAAUCCAGCAUCAACUAGAUUAAUGAUACUACACUGUUAAGUGAAUAGCCUUUGCAAGAGCAGUCAAUCUAGUGAUUUAUGUGGGAAGAUAAGAACAUCAAAUUACCCUUAUUCCAAUUGCUGUAAAUUUUAUACAUAAUUGACUGUUUUUCAGAAAUGUCUAUGGUAAACUAAAUAUAAUUAUAAAAAUAAACAUAAAUGAAAUAUUGAUUUGAUCAUCAGUAAAAGCAGUAGGCAGUUUUGCUCAACUACCGAAGAAAACUAAGUAUACUAGCUUGCAUGCAUUAACUAGACUGGUAUUUUUGAUCUUAACUGUACCUAAGUAGAGCCAACCAUGAAGAUCUCAUCUACUGAUUACAUAAUUAUGAAGAAUUACUUGCCUAUUCAAACUGUAUCACUUCUUCACUUAGAAGUAA